GGUCCUAGCAUUAAUCACAGCAGCACCAGCUGAGAAGAGAAGAAGAUGCUAGGUCUUGUGCUGGGCACUUCUGCAGUCUGUGGAAUUCGAGCACCUGGGUUUGAGUCCAGGCUCUCCUGCUUCAGAGUUGUGUGACUCUAACUUUCACCUCCCUAAGGCUGUUUUCUCCUAUGUGACAUGCUGUUCUCAUCACCUCACGCUGAUUCCCAUCACCAGCCUUUGUUAUUUCUACUUCCCCGGCUCUCAUCCUGUCCAAAUUAACCACAUGUGUUAAGUCUGGAGCAGCUGAGCGCCAUGAGGAGCCCAUGACCAGGGGACAUCACACUAGGGCAAGGAGAGCAUCCUCAGAUGUGAACACAGAGAAGAGGGGACACUAUCUGCUUAAAAACUACCACAAGAUUAUCAUCAAAGUGAACCAUAUGCAACAAAUCUGCAAGAUAAUUUGCUGAUGCCUAUUUGAAACACUGCAAGAGAAGGCA